GCCAGUGAAGCAGCAUCUCGUGUCAGAGGGGGAGUUGCCCUGGAGCUCCAGCAGGUCCGCCAUGUUCCUUGAUGGGUCUGCAAAAAAUUUCCUCUUUUGAGAUGUAGACAGAUCGAUCCAUAUGUUGUUGCUGUAAACACAGGCCCAGGAGCGAGCCAGGAACCUUAAGGCGGACCUGGAGGCAGAGGAGCUCCGAUACAGAGAGCUUACAACAAUCGUGAAGGAGAUGCUUCCCCAUCCAGGGAACCCUGACAUAGAAACCCAGCAUAGGCGGAAGGCAGGGACUGAACUG
rnacentral:lncRNA from 1 species